rnacentral:rRNA from 1 species
GGGACUGAGACACGGCCCAGACUCCUACGGGAGGCAGCAGUGGGGAAUUUUGAUAAUGGGGGCAACCCUUAUCCAGCCAUUCCGCGUGAGUGAAGAAGGCCUUCUGGGUUGUGGUAAAGCUUCUUUGUCCGGAGCGAAACGGAAGUGGUGAAUAUCCACUUCUACCGACGGUACCUGAAGAAUAAGCACCGACUAACUACGUGCCAGCAGCCGCGGAUACGUAGGGUGCGAGCGUUAAUCGGAAUUACUGGGCGUAAAGCGUGCGCAGGCGGUUUUGUAAGCUGAAGUCGUGAAAUCCCGGGCUUAACUCCUCGAAUGGCGAUUGGGACCGCAAGGCUUGAGUAUGGCAGAGGAGACUUUGGAAUUCCCCGUGUAGCAGUGAAAUGCGUAGAUAUCAGGAGGAAUACCGAUGGCGAAGGCAGGUCUCUGGGCUGAUACUGACGCUCAUGCACGAAAGCGUGGGGAGCAAACAGGAUUAGAUAAUUCCGUAAAUUCACGCUCCUAAACGAUGUCGACUGGUUGUUGGGGGUUUGACACCUUCAGUAACGAAGCUAACGCGUGAAGUCGACCGCCCGUGAGUACGGCCGCAAGGUUAAACCCAAAGGAAUUGACGGGACCCGCACAAGCGGUGGAUUACGUGGAUUUAAUUGAUGCAACGCGAAAAACCUUACCUACCCUUGACACUCCCAGGAAGUCCUGGAGAGAUCCGGGUGUGCCCGAAAGGGAACGGGAACACAGGUGAUGUAAUGCGGCUGCCGUCAGCUCGUGUCGUGAGACGCUGGGUUAAGUCCCCAACGAACGCAACCCUUGCCAUUAGUUGCUACAUUCAGUUGGGCACUCCAUUGACUGCCGCGACAAACCGGAGGAAGGUGGGGAUGACGUCAAGUCCUCAUGGCCCGCCCGGGUAGGGCUUCACACGUAAUACAAUGGUCGGUACAGAGGGUUGCCAAAGCGCGAGCUGGGAGCCAAUCCCAGAAAGCCGAUCGUAGUCGGAUUGCAGUCUGCAACUCGACUGCAUGAAGUCGGAAUCGCUAGUAAUCGCGGAUCAGCAUGUCGCGGUGAAUACGUUCCCGGGGUCUUGUACACACCGCCCGUCACACCAUGGGAGCGGGUUUCACCAGAAGCCGGUAGCCUAACCGCAAGGAUGGCGCCGAACACGGUGAGAUUCGUGACUGGGGUGAAGUCGUAACAAGGUAGCCGUAUCGGAAGGUGCGGCUGGAUCACCUCCUUU